rnacentral:rRNA from 1 species
UACAGAGGUCUCAAGCGUUGUUCGGAUUCAUUGGGCGUAAAGGGUGCGUAGGCGGCGCGGUAAGUCGGGUGUGAAAUCUCGGAGCUUAACUCCGAAACUGCAUUCGAUACUGCCGUGCUUGAGGACUGGAGAGAAGACUGGAAUUUACGGUGUAGCGGUGAAAUGCGUAGAUAUCGUAAGGAAGACCAGUGGCGAAGGCGGGUCUCUGGACAGUUCCUGACGCUGAGGCACGAAGGUCAGGGGAGCAAACGGG